rnacentral:rRNA from 1 species
GGGUGAGGAAUGCAUCGGAAUCUACUCUGUCGUGGGGGAUAACGUAGGGAAACUUACGCUAAUACCGCAUACGACCUACGGGUGAAAGCAGGGAUCUUCGGACCUUGCGCGAUUGAAUGAGCCGAUGCCCGAUUAGCUAGUUGGCGGGGUAAGAGCCCACCAAGCGACGAUCGGUAGCUGGUCUGAGAGGAUGAUCAGCCACACUGGAACUGAGACACGGUCCAGACUCCUACGGGAGGCAGCAGUGGGGAAUAUUGGACAAUGGGCGCAAGCCUGAUCCAGCCAUACCGCGUGGGUGAAGAAGGCCUUCGGGUUGUAAAGCCCUUUUGUUGGGAAAGAAAAGCAUUCGGUUAAUACCCGAUUGUUCUGACGGUACCCAAAGAAUAAGCACCGGCUAACUUCGUGCCAGCAGCCGCGGUAUACGAAGGGUGCAAGCGUUACUCGGAAUUACUGGGCGUAAAGCGUGCGUAGGUGGUUGUUUAAGUCUGUCGUGAAAGCCCUGGGCUCAACCUGGGAAUUGCGAUGGAAACUGGGCGACUAGAGUGUGGCAGAGGGUAGUGGAAUUCCUGGUGUAGCAGUGAAAUGCGUAGAGAUCAGGAGGAACAUCCGUGGCGAAGGCGACUGCCUGGGCCAACACUGACACUGAGGCACGAAAGCGUGGGGAGCAAACAGGAUUAGAUACCUGGUAGUCCACGCCCUAAACGAUGC